rnacentral:rRNA from 1 species
GACGAACGCUGGCGGCGUGCCUAAUACAUGCAAGUAGAACGCACAGUUUAUACCGUAGCUUGCUACACCAUAGACUGUGAGUUGCGAACGGGUGAGUAACGCGUAGGUAACCUGCCUGGUAGCGGGGGAUAACUAUUGGAAACGAUAGCUAAUACCGCAUAAUAUUAAUUAUUGCAUGAUAAUUAAUUGAAAGGUGCAAUUGCACCACUACCAGAUGGACCUGCGUUGUAUUAGCUAGUAGGUGAGGUAACGGCUCACCUAGGCGACGAUACAUAGCCGACCUGAGAGGGUGAUCGGCCACACUGGGACUGAGACACGGCCCAGACUCCUACGGGAGGCAGCAGUAGGGAAUCUUCGGCAAUGGACGAAAGUCUGACCGAGCAACGCCGCGUGAGUGAAGAAGGGUUUCGGAUCGUAAAGCUCGGUUGUAAGAGAAGAACGGGUGUGAGAGUGGAAAGUUCACACUGUGACGGUAUCUCACCAGAAAGGGACGGCUAACUACGUG